AACGUAGGGUGCGAGCGUUAAUCGGAAUUACUGGGCGUAAAGCGUGCGCAGGCGGUUUUGUAAGCCAGAUGUGAAAUCCCCGGGCUUAACCUGGGAAUGGCAUUUGGGACUGCAAGGCUGGAGUGUGGCAGAGGAGACUGGAAUUCCUGGUGUAGCAGUGAAAUGCGUAGAUAUCAGGAGGAAUACCGAUGGCGAAGGCAGGUCUCUGGGCUGACACUGACGCUCAUGCACGAAAGCGUGGGGAGCAAACAGG
rnacentral:rRNA from 1 species